rnacentral:rRNA from 1 species
UACGUAGGGCGCAAGCGUUGUCCGGAAUUAUUGGGCGUAAAGAGCUCGUAGGUGGUUUGUUACGUCUGCUGUGAAAACCUAGGGCUUAACCCUGGGCCUGCAGUGGAUACGGGCAGACUAGAGGUAGGUAGGGGAGAAUGGAAUUCCCGGUGUAGCGGUGAAAUGCGCAGAUAUCGGGAGGAACACCGGUGGCGAAGGCGGUCCUCUGGGCCUUACCUGACACUGAGGAGCGAAAGCGUGGGGAGCGAACAGG